rnacentral:lncRNA from 1 species
GGAUUUGUGGGUGGGGGAGGAGGAGGCCUAGGUGCCAUCUUUUGCUUACACAGAUAGAAAAGCCAUCAGUCCAACUCAAAGAAACAAGGAUAAUAACUAGACAUAACUUAUGAGUACACAACACAAGCAUAGCACACUCAUAAGCUAUAGGAUUCCUAAGGAAAGAACUGUUCUUAUACCAAAAAUGUAACAUCCCAAAACAUAGUAGAAUACUAUAUAAUAGUCAUCACAAUUAUAAUACGAUAGAACAAUUGUU